CUUUUUCUGUUUUUAUUAUGUUUUAAAGACAUUAAUCUUAACUCUCACAGUGAUUGGCUGUCCAUUUUUUGGCGCCAAUUUUGAAUGAUUGUAUGUGCUAUUUAAAGAUUUCACUGCCAAGUAUCAGGUUCUUUUCCCAUAUUGAUAACGCCGUACUGGCGAAAUGCGUUUAUGGUUGUUAUAUUGUAAUUUUAAAUAUUAAAGUAUAUUUGGUAACUUUUAAUCGUACCACUUAUCUUUUUAUACACAUUUAUUUACUACUUUUACCUGGCAUCCUUUUUAUCUCACUGGACUCCAAGUAAUCCUAGGUGGGGAUUAUACCACCAACGCUAACUACAAGGAGCAGUUGAUCUGCUCCUAUCUUGUGAGUACCCACUUUUAUUACAUAUAUUUUAUUUAAAGCUUUUAUUCAGAGAACACUAUUGGCCGUCUCUUUUUAUCCAAGUAUCUUUCAUAUUACGGAAGGAGGAAAUAUACUUAGGAAAGUUACUCCAUAUCCUAUAAGCGGGGAUCAAACCGCUGCAUGCCUUUUACACCAGAGCGGGUUCUAGCUCUACUAAAUGUGAGUUUGCAAUCAAGAUUUAUAUUUCCACUUCCUCUACUAUCAAAAUAUACUACACUAUUUGGUUCUGUAUUUGUUUUUAUCUUUUGCAUAUGAGACGACCUACAAGAAAGAUACAAAUAAAGACUAUUGUUCUGGACCAAAUACCACCAUACAAUACGAUUUCAAUAGACGUUUCCAGAUAAGACUUUCUCCUUUUAUCCAUUUAUUUUAUCUGGACUAAUCGUAUUUUACAGAGUUUUAUUCAAGCGCAGCCCUUACUUGUAUUUAUUUUUACCUUUCUGUGUUUUAUUUAAUGGUUCUUGAGGGAUCCCCUUAUAGGGUUGCUGCUACCUUGUGUUAUUUAGCGCUUACUCAUUGUUCUG